AUUUUAACUGUGCAAAGGUAGCAUAAUCAUUAGUCUUUUAAUUGGAGGCUGGUAUGAACGGUUGGACGAGGUAGUUACUGUUUCAUAUAAAUUUAUAUUAGAAUUUUAUAUUUUAGUUAAAAAGCUAAAAUAAUAUUAAAAGACGAGAAGACCCUAUAAAUCUUUAUAUUUUUUUUAAUUUAAGUUUUGUGGAUUUAUUUUAUUUUUAUUAUGGGAUAUAUUUUGUUGGGGUGAUGUUAAAAUUUAAUGAACUUUUAAUUAAUUUUAUUCAUUAAUUUAUGAAUUAUUGAUCCAUUAGUAGUGAUUAUAAGAUUAAGUUACUUUAGGGAUAACAGCGUAAUUUUUUUGGAGAGUUCAUAUCGAUAAAAAAGUUUGCGACCUCGAUGUUGGAUUAAGAUAUAAUUUUAGGUGUAGCUGUUUAAAUAUUAAGUCUGUUCGACUUUUAAAUUCUU
rnacentral:rRNA from 1 species